GCCUGGGUGGCUCAGUCGGUUAAGUGUCUGACUUUGGCUCGGGUCAUGAUCUCAUGGUUUGUGGGUUCGAGCCCCACAUCAGGCU
rnacentral:tRNA from 1 species